GAAUCUUUUUUUUUGUCAUUGACUACUAAACCCAAACCAAAUUUAAAAAAAAAAAAAAACCCUAAGCUAGAAACCCUAAAACUAAAAGUGAUUUUGGAUCUGGAAAGGCGAAGCUGAGGGUGAACCAUGAGGGGCGAUACUAGUGAUUCCUCCAGUUACUUUGAUGGGCGAGAGCCAGAUGAACUGAUCAGGGCCCUCGUCCAGAAUUGGCCGGGUACCGAUGGUAAAAUGACGGUCGGUUUGCACUUUUUGGAUCUGGAAAGCAAUAAAGUCUUUAUUAAGGCGAUGCCACCUGAUGCUCCUUUUUGUUCCACUGCCGUUGCCUGUGGCGACCACGUUUACGUUAUUGGGGGAAUACGCCAAAAUGAUGCUACUCUUUUUGAUUAUGAUGGUGUAAACGAUGUUUUCCAAUUAGAUUUGAAGGACCUUGAACGUGGGUGGAGAAAAACUACUUCUAUGUUGUUCCCUCGGUUUUUGCCCCGGGUUGUUGCUGCUGAAGGAAAGAUUUUCGUCUUCGAAUAUAUGGGUUCUGAAUCUUUUGGCGAGGUUUACGAUAUAAGUGGGGAUAUUUGGGAACCAUUGUCGCCCCCUCCGGAAGAUAUCGAUCUAUGUGUUCCUGUUCUAGAUUCUUCCCGAUCUCGGAUUUUGGUGCACUGCAAUGCCAACGAUACCCUUUACGCUUAUUACUACGAUCGUAAAUCAUAGGUUUGCCUCGAACAAAAAUUUUGUUACUGGUCUGACGCAGCGACAAUCGUGGACGAUGUGCUGUAUACUGCCAUUUAUAAUUAUUCUGAUAAGUUCCGUUCUUUGGAGGCGUAUAAUUUGCUUGAUAAGAAACAUUUGCCCGUCAAAUGGUCAUCAGAAUUUUCAGUGGAUCCACAUGGCACUCUGUAUCGUUUGGGCAAUGGCAAGUGUAUUUUCGUUUGGUUCAACCAUCUCGAUAAGAGUUUUGAGUACAUAAGAUUUAAUAUUUGGUGCAACGAGCAGGGAGGGAUUCAUGCAGCUGCAGAGCAUCAAUCUGCCAUCAGUGUUCCAUAUCCCAAAGAUAUUUCUGAUAUAAAGUUGUUCUGAAUGAAGUAACUUUCAACACAAGAAAUUCUUUGGAGAUCAGCAUCCAUUGAUUUUCUUUUUACCUCGUUGGCCCAUUUUUUCCAUUGUCUAUUACUUGGAGGGAGCUUCAAGAAGAACUAGGGGUGAUCCUCCCAAAGGAUGCAUUUGAGUUGAUAUUUGUUUUUCUUGAAGAGUGCGAUGUAUACCUAGUAACAACUCUAGAGCCAAUUCCUCGAGAAGCCUUCACACUUCAGGUAUAAAUCGGGAAGAAAGCGAGACAAGUUUGAAUCGUGGCGCAUUUCGUGGUUUCAAUAGUACUUCAGUUUAGCAAAUUCAGGUAUAGAUUGGGAAGAAAGCGAGGCAAGUUUGAAUCGUGACGCGUUUCGUGUUGUCAAUAUUGAUUCAGUUUAGCAAA